AACGGGGGGGCCUAGAAGUGUUCGGAAUUACUGGGCGUAAAGCGCCCGUAGGCGGAUUGUUAAGUCGGGGGUGAAAUCCCGGGGCUCAACCCCGGAAUGGCCACCGAUACUGGCAAUCUUGAGGUCGGGAGAGGUGAGUGGAAUGGCGAGUGUAGAGGUGAAAUUCGUAGAUAUUCGCCGGAACACCAGUGGCGAAGGCGGCUCACUGGCCCGAUACUGACGCUGAGGUGCGACAGCGUGGGGAGCAAACAGG
rnacentral:rRNA from 1 species